CUGCUGAACUUUGUUAUGCACAUUCCGCUAUGCAGAUUAUAUAUAAUCAAUAUGUGAAUAUGUGUCAUUUUCUAUAGUUGAUUUCGGGGACUUUGAUCAGUAUGAAUCCCAGGACUUUCUUCAGAAAUUUGCCUUAUUUCCUGUGGGGUGGCUGCAAGAUGAAAAAGUGUUGGAAGAAGCAACCCAAAAGGUGGCCUUGCUACAUCAAAAAUACAGGUAACACCAAGAAAUAAGGCAUAGUCUACACCUUGUAUACAUAGAAUAACUAUUGG
rnacentral:lncRNA from 1 species